GAUGAACGCUGGCGGCGUGCUUAACACAUGCAAGUCGAACGAUGAAAGCGGGAGCUUGCUCCUGCUGGAUUAGUGGCGAACGGGUGAGUAACACGUGAGCAAUCUGCCCCGAACUCUGGGAUAAGCGUUGGAAACGACGUCUAAUACCGGAUACGACGCGCGAAGGCAUCUUCUGCGCGUGGAAAGAAUUUCGGUUCGGGAUGAGCUCGCGGCCUAUCAGCUAGUUGGUGAGGUAACGGCUCACCAAGGCGACGACGGGUAGCCGGCCUGGGAGGGUGACCGGCCACACUGGGACUGAGACACGGCCCAGACUCCUACGGGAGGCAGCAGUGGGGAAUAUUGCACAAUGGGCGAAAGCCUGAUGCAGCAACGCCGCGUGAGGGACGACGGCCUUCGGGUUGUAAACCUCUUUUAGUAGGGAAGAAGCGAAAGUGACGGUACCUGCAGAAAAAGCACCGGCUAACUACGUGCCAGCAGCCGCCGUAAGAC
rnacentral:rRNA from 1 species